rnacentral:ribozyme from 11 species
ACCAAAAGGAAGGAAGAAAGACAAACAGACCGAAAGAAAGAAAGAAAGAAAGAAAGGCAAACAGAUCGACUUCACUGUCUCU